AACUUUCGGCAAUGGAUCACUUGGUUCUGGCAUCGAUGAAGAACGCAGCGAGAUGCGAUAAGUAAUGUGAAUUGCAGAAUUCAGUGAAUCAUCGAAUUUUUGAACGCAUAUUGCGCCCUUUGGCAUUCCGAAGGGCAUACCUGUUCGAGCGUCAUUACACCCCUCAAGCUUAGGUUUGAUGUUGGGCACUGCUGUAAGGGCAUGCCUAAAAAUUAGCGAUGGUAACCAACAACCACAGGCGCACAGAUGUCGCAAUGAUGGGAAAUUGGGCACCAGUCUUUAACUUUCUAAAUGUUGACCUCGGAUCAGGUAGGGAUACCCGCUGAACUUAAGCAUAUCAAUAAGCGGAGGCU
rnacentral:misc_RNA from 1 species